rnacentral:rRNA from 1 species
UACGAAGGUGGCAAGCGUUAUCCGGAUUGAUUGGGCGUAAAGCGUCCGCAGACGGUUUGGUAUGUUACAGGUCAAAUCCUGAAGCUCAACUUCAGGGCUGCUUGUAAAACUGCCAUGCUAGAGACUGGAAGAGGCAAACGGAAUUAUCGGUGUAGCGGUAAAAUGCGUUAAUAUCGAUAAGAACACCAAAUGCGAAGGCAGCUUGCUGGUACAGUUCUGACGUUAAGGGACGAAAGCGUGGGGAGCGAAUGGG